UACGAAGGGUGCUAGCGUUGUUCGGAAUUACUGGGCGUAAAGCGCGCGUAGGCGGCUUAACAAGUCAGGGGUGAAAUCCUGGAGCUCAACUCCAGAAUUGCCUUUGAAACUGUUAGCUUGAGUGUCGGAGGGGAUAGCGGAAUUGCUAAUGUAGAGGUGAAAUUCGUAGAUAUUAGCAGGAACACCGGUGGCGAAGCGGCUAUCUGGACGACAACUGACGCUGAGGCGCGAAAGCGUGGG
rnacentral:rRNA from 1 species